rnacentral:rRNA from 1 species
CGAAUUAAUACCGCAUGUGAUCAGAGUGGACAUCCAUUCGAAAUCAAAGUCGGGGCAACCUGACGCUUCUUGAGGAGCCCGCGGCCUAUCAGCUAGUUGGUGAGGUAACGGCCCACCAAGGCUUAGACGGGUAGCUGGUCUGAGAGGACGACCAGCCACACUGGGACUGAGACACGGCCCAGACACCUACGGGUGGCAGCAGUCGAGAAUUUUUCUCAAUGGGGGAAACCCUGAAGGAGCGACGCCGCGUGGAGGAUGAAGGUCUUCGGAUUGUAAGCUCCUGUCAUUGGGGAACAAUGCGUAAAUAUUAACUGUAUUUGCGUUGAUAGUACCCGAAAAGGAAGAGACGGCUAACUCUG